rfam:Asian citrus Psyllid, Diaphorina citri - Florida Strain, whole genome shotgun sequence.
GACAGCGGCGAGACAAUAGCACGUUGAUUGCACCAGCUCCUAAUGGAUCAGUGAAGUUAAGCAACGUUGCACGUGGUUAGUAUCCUGAUGGGUGACCAUGUGGCUAAUCGCGUCCUGCUGGCC